UUGAUUUCAUUUAUAUCUCUUUGCUUCUGCUUUAUGUAUUGUUUGUUUCUUACAUUGUUCAUCCAGGGAUUCUACCUUUUUGUUUAGUUCCUCCAAUUUUUUAACUGUGUUUUCUUUAGAUAUGUUCAGCAUCUCUUUCUUUUCUUUUAUCAUUUCUUCUUUCACCUGAGUAUUUCUAGUUUGAAGUCCUUUAAAGCUUCCCAGAGUUGCUUCUUUAUUUCAGUUGCUCUUAUUUCAGGUAUUUCAGGUGUAUGGCAUAUGGCAUAUAUUUUCUUCUAUGUGCAUAACUCCUAAGGUUUCUUGGGAUGGACUGGAGGUUUGAGAUUGUAUUGUGUUCUUUUGUUUUGUCAUUUUCCUAUAUUUCUGUGUUUCAAGUGUUUUUCCAAGGCUUUCCCAGGGCCUGUUGGAAAUCCUCUUCUAUGCCCUCAGCUCUUGGGACUCUGGCCACCCUGUUCUCUGGAUUGAGAGAGGGUCACUGGGGAUGGGGCAGGCAGGCCCAAGCCCUGCGGGGCAGGUUGAGUGUGGCAGGGAGCUGUGAAGUUCCUUGGCUUGUGGGGGCAGUGAUCUCAAACUCUUGAGUUUGGGAUGGUGCAGGGACACUCACCUGAGGCAGCCCAGUUUCCAGAAUUGAGGGUGCAGGCAGGCCAAAUCCCCAGAGUCUGCCAACCAUGGUAGGAAGCUGGGAAGUUGGUGCAGGCAGGCUCAAGACCUGCUGAGCUGGUACAGGAGGAAGCCAUGAAGUUCCUGGCGAAGGUGGGAGCAAGGAUUUUAAACUCCUGAGACUUGGGGCUCAGGGGAUAGUGUGGGGAUACUCACCUCAGGCUGCCCAGUCUCUGGAAUUGAGAUUCCCUUAUGUUUAAGAAACUAUUUAAACUCUAUAAACAUCCUAACCCUAUUAAAUAUCUUUUACUCAAGUCGCAAACAAAAGUGAAACUUGCUAUCAUUAGCAAGAUUAUCAGGAAACAAAAUGAUAACGUAUUUUGCUAUUAAUCACAUAGACUUCUUCCCAGUGUCAUUUGAGAUAUAGUUUAACUCCACCAGUAUUGCAAUAGUGUUUUCUAAUUGUUAGGGACUAUAAUCCUGGAAAGAUAUUUUUAUUUAUUUUACCAAUUUAAAGUUCACAUACAUGGAUAUUCCGUUUUGUAAAUUACUGUAACAUUUUCAUUCAGCGAUGAUCUGGCGGAUAGACAUGUAGUUUUUAAUAUAAAUAUAAAAAUGUUUACAAAGGAGAUAGCACAAUUCAAAGCUUUCAAAACCAUAAAAUCAGUCCUUAAUAAUUACUCUCAUUUGACUGUUUCUGUAAAGCAAGCCAGUCAGAUGUUAGUGGCCAUGAAAUGAAUGUUUUAAGUAAAAUUAUUUCAUAAUUUUGAAUUAUUUACCAGUGAGUUGUUAGAAUAGUUCUGGAUACUAUACUUCAAAUUAUAUCCAUUCUUUAAUAGGAAAAUUAAGCCAUACAUGCAAAACUAAAUAUCCUUUAUUUUCCUUUGUGUGCAUUUGAUAGCUCUGUGUGAAGAGCAUAGUUUUUCCACACAUUCCUCUUUUCAAUCCUUAAAAUUCUAAGCAGUUGACAAAACUACCACAAUAAUUAAACUCUUUCAUAAUCUAUGUUUGACCUUUGAAUCCUGUAAUAACAUAUGUUUUACACUUACAUUCAAUGAAAACAUUCAAUUUUUUUCUAUUUUUCCCUCUAGUAUAAACAGAAUGCCAUCAAGUUAUCAAGAAUUCACCAUGAAACCACGCAUUUUGGAAUUCCACACAGGAACAGAUCAGGAUUAACAAUAACCUGGUUUUUCUGAAUUCUGCAGUGAAUUCAUAUGGGCCUGGGCUCUUCUUUGUAGUAUGCCAUAGAGGAAUCACAACCAACUAACUUCGAGGCACAGUCACCCAGCAUCUACAUCAACUUCAAAAGAAAAGAAGAAACUGCUGAAGACCUGCUUGGCAUUGUACAAGCAGUCAAUAAGCAAUAUUAAUGAGUUGGUAUAAGAAUAAAUAUACAGUCUGUCCUGGGCCCAGAUGACUUGUGCCAAGACCACUGGCUGGGUUAAGGACGUAGCUUAUAAUCUUUAAGCCAAUGGUCAGAUUCCAGGCUAGAAAACAAUCUGAAUUUCUUGUGUCCCAAACAAGAUAACAUGAUCACUGAGGACUUUGAUUCCUUCAAAAUCUUUCUAGUUCAACAAUUUCAAUUUGCAGAAAAUCAGAUUACUAGUUAAUACUGCUAUUUCUGUGUGAUUUUCCAAAAUGCAUGCUUUCUCAGUUCUUGCACCUUGACUGCUUCAGCAGUUCACCUCCACUGCUUCUUACAAUCCAACAGUACAUCUCGCAGUGGAGCUCUACACCUAACAAAAGCCAAAGACACCGUGCCUUAUGGUCCAGACCAUCACUGGGCUUUGACCACCCUGGUGCUCCUUGUAAUUAAAGUGUAUAUUAUAUCUGAGUUUUAUUCUGUCAUCAUACCUCUGAGUAGAAGAUCAGUGGUCCUAGACCAGGGUCUCUACAAUGUUUUCUUCUAGUUUUUUUUACAUUUCAAAUUUUAUGUUGAAUGUUUAAUUUAUUGAAGCUUAUUUGUUAAACAGUGUGAAUUAAUUCUAUUUCUUUAUUUCACUGGUGGAUGUACAUCUUCUUUCAUCAGAAUUUUGUUGAGGACACUCUUCUUACUCUAUGGUGUACACUUGGAAACAUUGUUUACAACCAGUUGAGCAGAAAUAUAUAAAUUUUUUGUGUUCCACUAA